rnacentral:rRNA from 1 species
UACAGAGGUCCCAAGCGUUGUUCGGAUUCAUUGGGCGUAAAGGGUGCGUAGGCGGCGCGGUAAGUCGGGUGUGAAAUCUCGGGGCUUAACUCCGAAACUGCAUUCGAUACUGCUCUGCUUGAGGACUGGAGAGGAGACUGGAAUUCACGGUGUAGCAGUGAAAUGCGUAGAUAUCGUGAGGAAGACCAGUGGCGAAGGCGGGUCUCUGGACAGUUCCUGACGCUGAGGCGCGAAGGCCAGGGGAGCAAACAGG